GUGCGGAAGAGAUAAGUGCUGAAAGCAUCUAAGCACGAAACUUGCCUUGAGAUGAGUUCUCCCUGUCUUUAAGACAGUAAGGGUUGUUUAAGACUAAGACGUAGAUAGGUCUGGUGUGUAAGCGGUGCGAGCCGUUGAGCUAACAGAUACUAAUUGCCCGAGAGGCUUAACUAUACAACGCUCAAGGGUUUUG
rnacentral:rRNA from 1 species